rnacentral:rRNA from 1 species
UGGAAGUAAAAGUCGUAACAAGGUCUCCGUUGGUGAACCAGCGGAGGGAUCAUUACCGAGUUAUACAACUCAUCAACCCUGUGAACAUACCUAAAACGUUGCUUCGGCGGGAACAGACGGCCCUGUAACAACGGGCCGCCCCCGCCAGAGGACCCCUAACUCUGUUUUUAUAAUGUUUUCUGAGUAAACAAGCAAAUAAACUAAAACUUUCAACAACGGACCUCUUGGCUCUGGCAUCGAUGAAGAACGCAGCGAAAUGCGAUAAGUAAUGUGAAUUGCAGAAUUCAGUGAAUCAUCGAAUCUUUGAACGCACAUUGCGCCCGCCAGUAUUCUGGCGGGCAUGCCUGUUCGAGCGUCAUUACAACCCUCAGGCCCCCGGGCCUGGCGUUGGGGAUCGGCGGAAGCCCCCUGUGGGCACACGCCGUCCCUCAAAUACAGUGGCGGUCCCGCCGCAGCUUCCAUUGCGUAGUAGCUAACACCUCGCAACUGGAGAGCGGCGCGGCCAUGCCGUAAAACACCCAACUUCUGAAUGUUGACCUCGAAUCAGGUAGGAAUACCCGCUGAACUUAAGCAUAUCAAUAAGCGGAGGA